rnacentral:rRNA from 1 species
CAGGUUUACCUGUGUGACUGCGUACCUUUUGUAUAAUGGGUCAGCGACUUAUAUUCUGUAGCAAGGUUAACCGAAUAGGGGAGCCGGAGGGAAACCGAGUCUUAAUUGGGCGUUAAGUUGCAGGGUAUAGACCCGAAACCCGGUGAUCUAGCCAUGGGCAGGUUGAAGGUUGGGUAACACUAACUGGAGGACCGAACCGACUAAUGUUGAAAAAUUAGCGGAUGACCUGUGGCUGGGGGUGAAAGGCCAAUCAAACCGGGAGAUAGCUGGUUCUCCCCGAAAGCUAUUUAGGUAGCGCCUCGUGAAUUCAUCUCCGGGGGUAGAGCACUGUUUCGGCUAGGGGGCCAUCCCGGCUUACCAACCCGAUGCAAACUGCGAAUACCGGAGAAUGUUAUCACGGGAGACACACGGCGGGUGCUAACGUCCGUCGUGAAGAGGGAAACAACCCAGACCGCCAGCUAAGGUCCCAAAGUCAUGGUUAAGUGGGAAACGAUGUGGGAAGGCCCAGACAGCCAGGAUGUUGGCUUAGAAGCAGCCAUCAUUUAAAGAAAGCGUAAUAGCUCACUGGUCGAGUCGGCCUGCGCGGAAGAUGUAACGGGGCUAAACCAUGCACCGAAGCUGCGGCAGCGAACGUAUCACCCAAGACAACUUUACGGAGUUGACGAUUGACGGAGCGAAGCGACGUCAAAGCGUUCAUUAAAGUCGAGUUGGCUUAGGGAUACGUUCGUUGGGUAGGGGAGCGUUCUGUAAGCCUGUGAAGGUGGCCUGUGAGGGUUGCUGGAGGUAUCAGAAGUGCGAAUGCUGACAUAAGUAACGAUAAAGCGGGUGAAAAGCCCGCUCGCCGGAAGACCAAGGGUUCCUGUCCAACGUUAAUCGGGGCAGGGUGAGUCGACCCCUAAGGCGAGGCCGAAAGGCGUAGUCGAUGGGAAACGGGUUAAUAUUCCCGUACUUGGUGUUACUGCGAAGGGGGGACGGAGAAGGCUAUGUUGGCCGGGCGACGGUUGUCCCGGUUUAAGCGUGUAGGUGUGUGUUCCAGGUAAAUCCGGUUCACUUUAACACUGAGGCGUGAUGACGAGGCACUACGGUGCUGAAGCAACAAAUGCCCUGCUUCCAGGAAAAGCCUCUAAGCAUCAGGUAACAUCAAAUCGUACCCCAAACCGACACAGGUGGUCAGGUAGAGAAUACCAAGGCGCUUGAGAGAACUCGGGUGAAGGAACUAGGCAAAAUGGUGCCGUAACUUCGGGAGAAGGCACGCUGACACGUAGGUGAAGUGAUUUACUCACGGAGCUGAAGUCAGUCGAAGAUACCAGCUGGCUGCAACUGUUUAUUAAAAACACAGCACUGUGCAAACACGAAAGUGGACGUAUACGGUGUGACGCCUGCCCGGUGCCGGAAGGUUAAUUGAUGGGGUCAGCGCAAGCGAAGCUCCUGAUCGAAGCCCCGGUAAACGGCGGCCGUAACUAUAACGGUCCUAAGGUAGCGAAAUUCCUUGUCGGGUAAGUUCCGACCUGCACGAAUGGCGUAAUGAUGGCCAGGCUGUCUCCACCCGAGACUCAGUGAAAUUGAACUCGCUGUGAAGAUGCAGUGUACCCGCGGCAAGACGGAAAGACCCCGUGAACCUUUACUAUAGCUUGACACUGAACAUUGAGCCUUGAUGUGUAGGAUAGGUGGGAGGCUUUGAAGUGUGGACGCCAGUCUGC